GAUGAAGAACGUAGCGAAAUGCGAUAAGUAAUGUGAAUUGCAGAAUUCAGUGAAUCAUCGAAUCUUUGAACGCACAUUGCGCCCGCCAGUAUUCUGGCGGGCAUGCCUGUUCGAGCGUCAUUUCAACCAUCAAGCCCCCGGCUUGUGUUGGGGACCUGCGGCUGCCGCAGGCCCUGAAAACCAGUGGCGGGCUCGCUGUCACACCGAGCGUAGUAGAUUUUCAUCUCGCUCAGGGCGUGCUGCGGGUUCCGGCCGUAAAAAGCCUUAUUUACCCAAGGUUGACCUCGGAUCAGGUAGGAAUACCCGCUGAACUUAAGCAUAUCAAUAAGCGGAGGA
rnacentral:misc_RNA from 1 species